CGGAGUCUGAGCCGGCGGCACCCAGCUGGUGCCAGUCCACCCAGUGCUGACCCGGUACCAGCCUCUUCAGAGGGAUGAAGGUCUCUCCCAGCAGGGUGUUCUCCCAGAAAGCCCCGUCACCAAGAACCCGCAGGUGGGGUUACAGGUGCGUCGUGCUGCCUUGGUCUUCCUCUUGCUGGUCUUCUGGGGGUCUGGGAGGAGGUAGAGCUUCACGUAAGGGUCCGGGUCUGUGCCGUCCUGCAGAGGCUGCUGUUCAUGCCAACAGCCAAUCAAAACACGGGAGUAAGAAAACAGAACUUUGAGCAGCUGGUUGUUAUUAAUAAAUAAUAAAAUCGAUAAAAGUUCA